ensembl:misc_RNA 7SK 7SK RNA
GGAUGUGAGGGUGAUCUGUCAGGCCAUCAAUUGUCAGAGUUGAUGUGGCUGAUCUGGCUGGCUAGGUGGGUGUCCCUUUCCUCCCUCACCGCUCCAUGUGCAUCCCUCCUGAAGCUGCCCUGUCGGUCAAGAGGACGGCCUUCCCCGAAUAGAGACGGACCAGUCUGUGGGUCUGUGGUCCAGGGUAUAUGAGUAGUUGUGCUUCCCCACUAGAACCUCCAAACAAGCUCUCAAGGUCCAUUUGUAGGAGAACAUGGGAUAGUCAAGCUUCCGAGACUUCAGACAUAUCCAAAUGAGCUGCUACAUAUUGCAGUCUGCCUUUCUAU